CGCGAAGAACCUUACCAGGUCUUGACAUCCCGUUGACCGCUAUGGAGACAUAGUUUUCCCUUCGGGGACAAUGGUGACAGGUGGUGCAUGGUUGUCGUCAGCUCGUGUCGUGAGAUGUUGGGUUAAGUCCCGCAACGAGCGCAACCCUUGAUCUUAGUUGCCAUCAUUUAGUUGGGCACUCUAAGGUGACUGCCGGUGAUAAACCGGAGGAAGGUGGGGAUGACGUCAAAUCAUCAUGCCCCUUAUGACCUGGGCUACACACGUGCUACAAUGGACGGUACAAACGGUUGCCAACCCGCGAGGGGGAGCUAAUCCGAUAAAACCGUUCUCAGUUCGGAUUGUAGGCUGCAACUCGCCUACAUGAAGCCGGAAUCGCUAGUAAUCGCGGAUCAGCAUGCCGCGGUGAAUACGUUCCCGGGCCUUGUACACACCGCCCGUCACACCACGAGAGUUUGUAACACCCGAAGUCGGUGAGGUAACCUUUUGGAGCCAGCCGCCGAAGGUGGGAUAGAUGAUUGGGGUGAAGUCGUAACAAGGUAAGCGUAGAUGA
rnacentral:rRNA from 1 species